rnacentral:rRNA from 1 species
UACAGAGGGUGCGAGCGUUAAUCGGAAUUACUGGGCGUAAAGGGCGCGUAGGCGGCCUGGUCAGUCGGAUGUGAAAGCCCGGGGCUCAACCCCGGAACGGCAUCCGAGACGGCCAGGCUGGAGACCGGGAGAGGAGAGUGGAAUAGCCAGUGUAGAGGUGAAAUUCGUAGAUAUUGGCUGGAACACCGGUGGCGAAGGCGGCUAGCUGGCCUGUAACUGACGCUGAGGCGCGAAGGCUAGGGGAGCGAACAGG